GCGGGUAUCGUAUAAUGGCUAUUACCUCAGCCUUCCAAGCUGAUGAUGCGGGUUCGAUUCCCGUUACCCGCUCCA
rnacentral:tRNA from 1 species